UCGAUUUGAAGGUUGUAGACUUUGAGCUGUGACUUUCGUAGCUAACGCGUUAAAUCGACCGCCUGGGGAGUACGACCGCAAGGUUAAAACUCAAAUGAAUUGACGGGGGCCCGCACAAGCGGUGGAGCAUGUGGUUUAAUUCGAUGCAACACGAAGAACCUUACCUACUCUUGACAUCCAAAGAAUCUUAUAGAAAUAUGAGAGUGCCUUCGGGAACUUUGAGACAGGUGCUGCAUGGCUGUCGUCAGCUCGUGUUGUGAAAUGUUGGGUUAAGUCCCGCAACGAGCGCAACCCUUAUCCUUUGUUGCCAACGAGUAAAGUCGGGAACUCAAAGGAGACUGCCGGUGAUAAACCGGAGGAAGGUGAGGAUGACGUCAAGUCAUCAUGGCCCUUAUGAGUAGGGCUACAAACGUGCUACAAUGGCGCAUACAAAGAGAAGCGAUCUCGUGAGAGCAAGCAAACCUCAUAAAGUGCGUCUUAGUCCGGAUUGGAGUCUGCAACUCGACUCCAUGAAGUCGGAAUCGCUAGUAAUCGUGGAUCAGAAUGUCACGGUGAAUACGUUCCCGGGCC
rnacentral:rRNA from 1 species